rnacentral:rRNA from 1 species
UACGUAGGGUGCGAGCGUUAAUCGGAAUUACUGGGCGUAAAGCGUGCGCAGGCGGUUUUGUAAGACAGGCGUGAAAUCCCCGGGUUUAACCUGGGAGCUGCGCUUGUGACUGCAAGACUAGAGUGUGGCAGAGGGGGGUAGAAUUCCGCGUGUAGCAGUGAAAUGCGUAGAGAUGCGGAGGAAUACCGAUGGCGAAGGCAGCCCCCUGGGUUAACACUGACGCUCAUGCACGAAAGCGUGGGGAGCAAACAGG